rnacentral:rRNA from 1 species
UCGAGAAUCUUCCACAAUGGACGAAAGUCUGAUGGAGCGAUGCCGCGUGAUUGAUGAAGCGAUUCGUCGCGUAAAGAUCUUUUAUGAGGGAAGAAGUUUAUUGACGGUACCUCAUGAAUAAGGGGCUCCUAACUCUGUGCCAGCAGGAGCGGUAAUACAGAGGCCCCGAGCGUUAUCCGGAAUUAUUGGGCGUAAAGGGUGCGUAGGUUGCGUUGUUAGUCGUUUGUGAAAGCCCCGGGCUCAACCUGGGAAACGCGAACGAUACGGCAAUGCUUGAGUAUGUCAGAGGUGUGCAGAACUUUCGGUGUAGGGGUGAAAUCCGUUGAUAUCGAAAGGAAUACCAAAAGCGAAGGCAGCACACUGGGGCAUUACUGACACUGAAGCACGAAAGCGUGGGUAG